GGAAUUGUGGCUCAGUGGUAGAGCCCUUGCCUAGCAUGUGUGAGGCUCUGGGUUCAAUUCUCAGCACCG
rnacentral:tRNA from 1 species